GCCAGGCAGAUGGAGAAAAUAAGGAGAGAGUCGCAGAAUAGAGGAAAUCCACAGGAAAGCCCUAAGAGAAGCUGCACCAUUAAAGCUGGGCCUCCUUUCCGUCCCUCUGGAUGUGGCUCCUAGAGCCGCAUCAGCAACAGAGCCCAGAAGCCAGCGGUGUGUGCGGCUCCCUGGUGUCACAAAGACACAUGCACCUGAGUGGCGCUGCCUCCUCUGUCAUCCAUGGAAGAGUCUCUGCCAGUCCAAGGCCGAGGCUGUUUCCUGCCCAUUCACUCCACCGGGCUCCCCUCCGCCCUCCAGCAAGCGCCCUACGGAGCCAUGUUGGACGGGGAGGAAUGGAUUCCCGCCCCAGACCCCUGUGGAUCCAGAAGACCAGGACAGAGACCGAGGGGAGCACCUGCAGCGCGUGAGAGCCAGAGGGGGCCUUAGGAUCACCCAGUGCCGCCCUUGAUUCACGGAGGAAGGAAGGCGAGACCGAGAAAGCAGGAAGGGACUCCGUUAACCGAUGGCAAUUUCGAGCCAGGUGAGGCAUCAGGUGAAUUCUGACUUUAAUGGACGUAUCUGAUGUC